CCAAUAGCGUAUAUUAAAGUUGUUGCAGUUAAAAAGCUCGUAGUUGAAUUUCGGGGUUCUUCCGUUGGUCAGGCUAACAAGUCUGUACUAACGUGUAGAAUCUCUACCUUCUGGGGAACCAUCAUGUUAUUAAUUUAGCGUGGUGGGAAACCAGGACCUUUACCUUGAAAAAAUUAGAGUGUUCAAAGCAGGCUUACGUCUGAAUACAUUAGCAUGGAAUAAUAAAAUAGGACGGUGGUCCUGUUUUGUUGGUUUCUGAAUCACCGUAAUGAUUAAUAGGGAUAGUUGGGGGCAUUAGUAUUCAAUUGUCAGAGGUGAAAUUCUUGGAUUUAUUGAAGACUAACUUCUGCGAAAGCAUUUGCCAAGGAUGUUUUCAUUAAUCAAGAACGAAAGUUAGGGGAUCGAAGACGAUCAGAUACCGUCGUAGUCUUAACCAUAAACUAUGCCGACUAGGGAUCGGACGAUGUUAAAUUUUAUUGACUCGUUCGGCGCCUUACG
rnacentral:rRNA from 1 species